GUAAAUUACCGGUAAAAAACGCGUCAAUGACCAAGCCUGUUUUACCAUACCGGUCAGAAAAAUGCUGAUCUCUGAUUGGUUAAUACAUGUCCAAUCACAGUUUAGAAUUCCCAACGGCAUACAACUGUUUAUUUGUUCUAUCAGAUAAGGAUUUUCAUUGAGAACUUGGUGCAAUGGGGGAGAACAAAUCAAUAUAUAAACAUUUCUCUGCAUUACCUCUGCAACCUAACCAAAAAUUAAAAUCGUAUUCAUGUAACUAUUGCAAGAAAAAGUAUGCAGAAAACAUUACUCGCAUGCGAAAACAUCUUUAUAAAGAGUGUAGAAGUUGUCCUCAAGACUUACGGAAACUUUUAAAACCAUGUAAACCUCGUAAACGAAAUAAUUCUCAUCUAAACAGCACAGACGACUCAUUUACUAUUGAAGAUUUGAAUGAAGCAGACAAUAGAGCAAGUACUUCAAUGAUUUCAAAUGAAAAUUUACCAAA